rnacentral:rRNA from 1 species
AAGCAUCUAAGCAUGAAGCCCCCCUCAAGAUGAGAUUUCCCAACUUCGGUUAUAAGAUCCCUCAAAGAUGAUGAGGUUAAUAGGUUCGAGGUGGAAGCGUGGUGACACGUGGAGCUGACGAAUACUAAUCGAUCGAAGACUUAAUCAAU